rnacentral:rRNA from 1 species
AUUGAACGCUGGCGGCAGGCCUAACACAUGCAAGUCGAACGAGCGGCGGACGGGUGAGUGAUGUCUGGGAACCUGCCUGAUGUAGGGGUAUAACUACUGGAAACGGUAGCUAAUACCGCAUACCAUCGGAUGUGCCCUGAUGGGAUUAGCUAGUAGGUGGGGUAAAGGCUCACCUAGGCGACGAUCCCUAGCUGGUCUGAGAGGCUGACCAGCCACACUGGAACUGAGACACGGUCCAGACUCCUACGGGAGGCAGCAGUGGGGAAUAUUGCACAAUGGGCGCAAGCCUGAUGCAGCCAUGCCGCGUGUAUGAAGAAGGCCUUCGGGUUGUAAAGUACUUUCAGCAGGGAGGCGGUACCCGCAGAAGAAGCACCGGCUAACUCCGUGCCAGCAGCCGCGGUAAUAC